ACCAGUGAUUUCAUGCUGCAGGCAUCCCUCCCCAGAUGGCUGGCCAGGCAGCCCAGCAGGGCAAGACCCCUCCUGCUCACGGAGCUGGAGCAAACUCAGGGGUAAAGCUUAGCAGUUAGCUCUCACUUCCUCCUGCAGCCUUCAGUGGGUCGGGUCCCCACAGCCUCUGCAGCCUGACUGUCCCUUUCUCUGCUUUCCACCACCAAAGCCAGCAAAUGUAAAUAACGGCAUGGAGAGAGUGGGAGGUCCCUGAAGCCAGGGGCCCAGGAUUCUGGUUGCUCUUUCUGCAUCAGAGAGAAACAUCAAACACCCAUCUACCUUCAAAAGAAAAGCCACCAACAUAAAGUGUGAUUCCACAGCUAGAACAAACUGAACGGAGGAGCAGGCCAUGCUUCCUACUCAGUGGUACUAGAACAAGGUUGGUCACUUGAAGAGGACAGCUGAGUGUAUGCACGGUUAUUAUUCAGUAAAAGUCUGCCUCUGACUCAG